rnacentral:rRNA from 1 species
UGGGGAAUUUUGGACAAUGGACGAAAGUCUGAUUCAGCGAUACCACGUGAAUGAUGAAGGCCUUAGGGUUGUAAAGUUCUUUUGACAGAGAUAAUAAUGAUAGUAUCUGUAGAAAAAGCACCGGCUAACUUCGUGCCAGCAGCCGCGGUAAUACGAAGGGUGCAAGCGUUGCUCGGAAUUAUUGGGCGUAAAGCGUAUGUAGGUGGUUUUAUAAGUUAGUAGUGAAAUACCGGGGCUUAACUUCGGUGCUGCUACUAAUACUGUAAGGCUAGAGUUAGGUAGAGGAUAGUGGAAUUCCUAGUGUAGAGGUAGAAUUCGUAGAUAUUAGGAGGAACGCCGGAAGCGAAGGCUGCUAUCUGGGCCUAUACUGACACUGAGAUACGAAAGUGUGGGGAGCAAA